AAGAGGUGGACCUGGUACAGGGAAGAAAGGAGCAGAGUGAGAGGCCUGGUCUUUCCUCCAGCACUACAUGCAUAACUCACCUGUAGGGAGGUUGUAUGAGCCUCCUGCCCAGGCUGUACAGGAUCCAGCCACACCCUCUCCCACCCACAGUGAGGCAGUAUAGGCCUAAGGAGACCUUAGUGGCUGAAAGAAAUCUCCAUGGGAGGGAGCCCUUGCUUAGUUGUAUCACAUGUCUACUUUCUUCAGGGAAGCCUGACAGUGCUUCCCUGCCCUUCCCCAGUGCAGGUCAGCUUGGUGAAGGUGAGAACUGGAACCUUCCCUGUCUUUGCACUCAAGGGCUCAGGGCUGCCACUCCAUGAAUAUCUGAUAAGUGAGGAGUAAGUUGGUGUCUCUCCUGCCUCUCUGCCAUCUCUAGCUCAGGCAGUGAUCUAUUGUCCAGUUCUCUUUGCCUCUGUAUAACUCCUUGAGCAUGGUCUAUACCCUCAUCUGGGAGACGUGGGGACCAAAACAAUGGCCUUGAGGUGAGCAGUAUCUGUUCUGUUGCCAAGGGUGACUCUGGACUCCAAAGAACAUCAAAACUCAAAAGGCAGUUGUUGCACCUGCUCUGAUUACAGGAUUAUGGUCAAUACCCAGAAAAACGUCUGCACACAGUGUGUCUUCAUGUACAUUUGUGGGUUGAUUACACUUGUCUUUCAUGACAUCUGAUAACCAUGGAUGCUUUGCUAUACUCAAGAUUUCCUGCUUUGAACAAUCCCUGAAGCCCAGACAGUGAAUCUCCAGUCUCCUUUCCAAUGAAAAGAACUGCUUCCCCCAAGUGUUGGUCAGUGAGAGGGAUAGAAGAUCAUCCAUGGGAAUCAGCACAGCCUCUAAAAUAGGUCUUCAGCACAGCCUCUACAAUAGCCAAGGCCACAGCUAAGCACUUACUGUGGAACCCCCAUUUCAUCCUCAGUGAACCCUGAUGUCUUGAUCCACUCAGCACACCACCAUUCAGUAUUGAAAACUGGGGUUGAGUGAGUCCCUUGUACAUGGCCAGGACCUGAAUCCGCAGGUGGUCAAGUCUCUCUGGGCUGCUAAGGAAAGUAUUAGUGAUACUUUGACAUGAAUGGCACUGAAACAGCUGGUUGCUCUGGGUAUCCUGAACAUUGUAACAACAUGAAUUCUUCCCAUCCACCAUCACAGUGUGUCUUUUCUUCUGUUAGUGCCAUUUCACUCAUUGCAUCAGUUUCUACAGUUUUUAAAGAAAAGCCAAGGUCUAGAGACCAAAAAUGAGAGACACAGAUGGCCUAAAUGGAUACUCAAUAUUUUGGCCCCAGCAAUUCAAGCUUGGAGGAGACCCAGGAUGUAAAAGAAAUUCUGCUUGCAUCAUCAGAAGAUACUCAGUGAGUACCUCGUAUUCUGAUCAGGAAGAUGAUGAGACCAAAGAAGAAAGUGAACUUUGAUGCAAGGUAUGCCUAAGGAGAGUCACGAGUCACCAGAAAAAUCUCCAAAGCUUUCACAGAAAUCGACAUGGUCAAGCAAUGUCCAUGACUCUUCCAGGUGGCUGACACUGACAGAAGAGAUAUGAGGAGCUAUGCAUGGCUAUAAGAUUGUUCUUCAAGAGACCUAACUGGCCUUGAUAGGAUGUAAAGAACCAAUUGUCCUUAGCGCAGUCCUUAUGUUAGCUUGGUCUUGAACCUUUUGCAGAAAAGUCUGGCCUCUGGAGGUACAGUGCAAUGUAAAACAUUGUCUGUGUGUGAAUCUCAGUUCAUUAACAUCCUCUGACAAUUGCUGGCUAUGCUGGUAACUGACUACCAUUAUGAAUGGAUGGACUAUGCAGUGGUAGAAGCUCUAAAAUAGCUUCUCCAUCUUCAGCUGGUCACCCAUCUGUGUAUCAACCAAACAAAAAAGAGGUAUAUGUUGGAGCCACUGAAACUGAAUACUCAUGCAGGGCUGUGAUGUGGCACAGGCAUGAUUGAACUGAGAAUGAAGAGAUGCCUCAGGGGACAAGAUAGGCCACAGCUGAGGCCACCUAGACACUUUCUGUGGGAUAGUUCUCUGCAGUUAGCAUCAUCUGUUGCUCUGAGAGUGUCUUGAACCUCUCCCAAGAUUCUUAUCAGGUUUCCUCCAUUGUCCACUCAACUCCUGCCAGCAUGAGUUGGACAGCUGGCUAGCAGAGUGAUGAGCUCUGUCAAGGAUCUCUCUCCUCCUGCAGCUCUGAAGACCAUGCUGUGUUUCUCAUUUCUUAGGGCCUUUUUGGUACACCAUUUUGGCGUCUUGGUGUCUAGGAAAAGACCCCAGCAUGAAACAUAAAAUGUAUCUAUUUUAAAGACUCAGCACUGAAAUCUGGUAAUGUUGGGUGAUGACAGGACCAAGUAUCAAAUUGUUUAAGACAAUUCAGGUAUACAGAAGCUGUUCUUUCCACUGUAUUUUUUUGGCUCACCAAUGCCAAAUCCUCUUACAUGACACAACUUUCCUCAAGACAUUUCCACUCCAAUCAAUGACCUACAUAUGAAUUAUUUUCUGUAGGACAUACACAUAGAUAUGCAGGUUUUAUGAUAUGUCUCCACCAAGUCAUCCUGAUGAAAAUAUUAAUAAUCCAGAGCCAUCCUGGGCCUGAGGGGAGAAAUAGAAAGCUAAUUUUUCCUUCCUGUGAGCUAGUGGAAGUCAUAUGGGGAAUGGUAGGGGAAACUAGCCAAUGUGCCCAUGUUGUGAUUCUGUGGAAGCUAUUCUAGUUCUCCAAAGAAAAGCAAGAAAGUAACUUACACUUCCUAUGAUCUAACCCCUGCAUUGGCUUGGAGAGGAGCACCACAAUCACCUCCUCUCACCACCAACCAUCUUAUUGGUUUAGAGGACAUGCUGAAUUGAUAGCAAUUGAGGUAUAACAACAACUUAAUCCUUGUAUUACUUGAUUGACUUUGCAGCCUAAAGCUAGUAUUCUUAAGCAUGUGUUUAAAUUGGGAAAUAAUGGUAAAAGAAGUUGCAAAACUUCAUGAGUAUAUGGAACUUAAAUAACAGUCUCCUAAACAACCAAUGGGUAACAGAUGAAAUAAAGGAUGAAACUUAAAAAUACCUACAACCUAACAAGAAUAUAGAUGCAAAAUUCUGUACCUUAUGGGAUUCAAUAAAAGCAGUCCAAAUAGGGAAAUUUAUAGUAGUCAAAUCUCACAUUAGGAAAUAGAAAGAACAUAAACAAAUAAUGAAAUGUUGCAUCUCAGUCUUCCAGAAGAAGAAUGGCAAGACAAACACAAAUCCCAUACAAGGGAGGAAAUUAUAAGACCAGACAAGAAAUUUAUGCAAUGCAGAACAAGAAACCAAUUCAAAGAAUUAAUGAAUCAAAGAGGUGAUUCACUGAAAUAAUAAACAAAAUUGAUAAACCCUUGGACAACCAUAUCAAAAAAGAGAAAAAUAAAGACUGAAAACCAUGCAUUGAGGAAUCAGAAGAAUAAAAUAACUACAGAUCCUGUGAAAAUUCAGAAGAUCAUCAGUACCUACUUCAAAAGCUUAUACUUUCAUAGGUUAGAAAAUAUAGAAAUGCACUGAUUCCUAGAUACAUAUGAAAUGCCAAAUCUGAUUUAAGAAGAUAUAAAUAGAGAAAACACAGUAUCAGUUAAUGACAAUGAAGAUCUAGUUAAAAAUUUAUCAGCUUCUGGGCAUGGUGAUGCAUUCCUGUAAUCCCAGAACUUGGGAGGCUGAGGUACAAGGCUUGUUGUGAGUUCAAGACUAAACAACACUACAAAAUGAGCUCAUGGCCAACCUAAACUGAAUAAUGAGUGCCUGUCUCAUGAGCACUUUUUAAAAAAAAAGAAAAACAAUGACAACAGAAAAGCAAAUGACCAACAUAAAAAGUUUAGGUCCUGAGGGAUUUACUGCUGAAUUCGACAAGAAAUGUAGAAAAAAAUUUAAGGCCACUGCUGUUUAAUGAUAUGGAAAGAGAAGCUGUUCUCCCUAACUCAUUCCUGGGAGGCAAGUAUUACCCUGAUACUAACACCAGAGAAAGACCCAACCAGAAAAAUAAAACUGUAGGACAGUUUUCCUAAUGAACAUAGAUGCAAAAAUCCUUAACACGAUACUAGCAAAAUGAAUGUAGCAAAUCAUCAAGAAGAUUUGAAAACCUGACCAACUUGGAUUCAUUCCAAGAAGGCAGGGAUGUUUCAGUACAUGAAAAUUAACAAAUUUAAAUGUCAUAGCAACACAGUCAAAAACUAAAGUCACAUGGUGAUCAUCUCAAUAAAUGCACAAUAAGCUUUUGCUAAAGUCAAGCACUGAUUUGUGAUAAAAACCCUACAGUAAAUAACAACAAAUGACCUUUACCUAAAGCUGAUAAAAUCAAACAAUGACAGGGGCUGGGAAUUUAGCUCAGUGGCAUAAGCACCUGCCUUGCAGUUGUGUGGUCAUGAGUAUGAUCAACAGUACCGAUAAAAAAGAAAAAGACAAAAAAAAAAUAUCAGACAAUGACAAAGAAAAUGCAGCAUCAUAGUAAAUGGAGAAUAACUGAAAACUUUCAUUCUACAGUUAUGAAAUGGACACAGAUGACUACUAUGACCACUUCUGUUUAAUAUAGCUCUGGAAACAGAACAAUUAAAUAAAAGAGAGAAAUCAGAAUAAGUAUAUAAUAGAAAGUAGUUAAACUAUUAUUGUUCACAGAUGAUAUGAUACAGUAAAUAGAAGAUGCCAAAAACUUGACCAAAACAGUCCUAGAGUUAAUAACCAAAUUCAAUAAUAUAGCUGGAGACAAAGUUGACAAUCAAAAAUCAGUAGCAUUCUUGUACACAACCAGCAAACUCACCAAGAGAGAAGUUACAGAAACCACACCAUUUAAAAUAGCCUCCAAGUAAAUGAAAUACUUGGAAAGAACCUAACAAAGAAAGCAAAGGACUUACAUAUUGAAAAUUAUAGUACUUUGGAAAAGGAUAUUGAAGAGACUAUCAGAAAAUAGAAAAAUAUCCCCUGCCCAUUCUGUGCAUUGUCUUUUCACUCUUUUAGUGCUUUCUUUUGAUGUACAAAUAUUUUUUAAUAAGAUAGGGUCCUGGUGGUUGAUUCUUUAAAAUUUUUAUUUUGUUCACGAAGCCUCAUUAGUGUUUCUGUUUUAAUAUUUAGAUCUUUGAUCUAGUUUGACUUAUAUUUAUUUCAUGGUGAUAGAAAUGUCUCCCGUUUAAGUCUUCAGUAUGAAGAAAGUCAUUUUCUUCAGGACCAUUUAUUGAAGAGGCUGUCCCUCUUCCACCGAACAUAUUUAGCUCCUUUGUCAAAGACAAGGUAGCAGAGUGUGUUUGUAGUUCUAUUUGCAUUUUCUAGUCCUUUUAUCAGGUCAUUUUUCUGCCAGAACUAUGCUGAUUUUCUGAUAGUAGCUUUCUAGUAUAAUAGCAAGUCAGGAAUUGUGAUGCUUCCUGACUUGCCUUUGUUGCCCAGCAAUGUCUUUUGCGAUCUAGAGCAUUUCUGUUUCCAAAUGAAUUUUAGAAAUGUUUUCUGUACAUUUGUGAGCUAUCUUAAUCGUAGUUUGGUAGGCAAUGCAUUACAUCUAUAUGACAGUUUGCAAUAUGAUUUUUUGAGUUUUCUCCAUAUCCUUGAAGGUAGUUUUACUGGUCUCUUAUACUCACCAGAUGAAACCUAACAGGUAUGAUUCUAAGAGUUUCAAACUGUUGAGUUCUUCUUCCCAAGGAUAUCCACAAUAAUAUGAUUUUUUUUCUGUUUGUUUGAGACAGGAUUUCCCUAUGCAGUUCAGGCUGACUGUGAACUCACUUCUUGGUCCAGUUAACUUAAACCGAUUGUCCUACUUCAGCCUCUUAAGUCCUGGGAUUACAGGAGGACUUGGGGAUAUCCAGGAAGCUGAAAAAGAAUGCAAAAUUUACUGUAGAUACUUAAGGUAAUCCACACUCACAAGGAGAAGGAAUGUUCCUGAGUAAUUAGUGAGUCAGCAGAAAAAUGACCACUAUUCAAUUAAAUGUCAGUAAUAUUCUCCGAAGAUGUAUAAACUAGAAAUGUCAAGCUAAGGAAAUCCUAUGGACAUACAUCUUGGAAUCAAUGUAAAGAAGUAUUCCUUUGUACUGAAGGAGGUAAUGUGAAUGUGAAAGAAACAGAAACAUACCACAAUGUUCAGAUCCAUGAAAAAUAUUGCAGUGGAGGGAAGCCCUAUGUAUGCGAGCAAUGCGGGAAAGGUUUUACCACACAUGGAAUUUGUAAGAAACAUGAAAGAAUUCACAGAGGAGAAAGACCCUACAUAUGUAAGGAGUGUGGGAAAGCUUGUACAACACAUACAUAUUGUCAAGUACAUAAAAGUCUUCACUCCGGAGAAAAAUGUUAUAAAUGUAAGCACUGUGUGAAAGCUUUCAGCACACGUGCUUAUUGUGCAAUACAUGAAAAACUUCGCACUGGGUAGAAACUGUAUAUAUGUAAGAAAUGUGGGAAAGAUUUUAGCAGUAACAUUCAUUGUCAAAUAUAUGGAAAUGUUCACACUGGAGAGAAACCCUAUUUAUGUAACAAUGUGGGAAAGCUUUUUACAAACAUGCAUAUUGUAAGGUUCAUGAAAGGAUUCACACUGGAGAGAAACCUUAUGUAUGUCAGCAAUGUGGGAAAGCUUUUAAAACACGUGCAUAUUGUAAGUUUCAUGAAAGAAUUCACACUGGAGAGAGACCAUAUGUAUGUAAGCAAUGUGGGAAAGCUUUUAACACACGUGCACAUUGUAAGGUUCAUGAAAGAAUUCACACUGGAGAGAAACCCUAUGUAUAUAAGCAAUGUGGAAAAGGUUUUACCAAUUCUGGAAAUUGUAAGCAACAUGAACAAAUUCACACUGGAGAGAAACCAUCUGUAUAAUUAAUGUGGGAAAGAUUUACCCUACAUGGACAUUGUAAGCAACAUGAAAGUUCACACUCAAGAUAAAACCAGUAUAUAUAAGCAUCAUGAGAAUGGUUUGAGCACACAUACAUAUUGCAUAAUGCAUGAAAAACUUCACACUGGGCAGAAAACUUAUAUAUGUAAGGAAUGUGGGAAAGGUUUCAGCAGAAAUGCUCAUUGUCCAAUACAUUAUACAAUUUACACUCUUGAGAAACCCUGUGUAUGUGAAGAAUGUGGGAAAGCUUUCACCACACAUGGAUACUGUAAAAUACAUCAAUGACUUCACACUGGUGAGAAACCCUGUUUAUAUAACAAUGUGGCAAAGCUUUUACCGCAUACAGUCAUUGCAAAACACAUGAAGGAAUUCACACUGGGAAGAAGCACUAGCUAUGUAAGCAAAUGGAGACACUUCAGCAGCCAGAUUUUAAGUGAAAUACGUGAAGAAACUUACACAAGAGAUAAAUCAUAUGUGUUAUGGGAAUACUCUCAGCACACAUGAUCAUUGUUACAUAUCUGAAAGAGCUCACUGGGCAAGGAUCCUGUGUGGAUUAUCAAUGUGAGAAAUACAGCAAUGCAAGUUUGUUGUUAAAUACAUAGAAAAACUGUCACUAUUCAGACAGUUUAGAUCUAAGUUUAUUUUAAAAAUCCCGAGGAGACCUGAAGAAAUAAUCAAUACAGAAGUUUGAUGUCAAUAUUUGUUCAUAAAUUUUCCAGAAACAACAAAUCUGAGGUGGAGCUCUACUCAAUCACUUGUACCUCUCUAGAUUUUUUAAAGUGUCUUUGUGCUUCAACAUGGCAUCUUGUAAUUAAACAUGAUAAACUGAAACGAGCUUUUCACUUUCAAGUAUGUAUAGUGUCUAUGUACUUAAUAUUUUGUCUUUAAAUCUUAAUUUUUAUAUUUUGGUGAAUUAUGAUGUUUAUUUAAAGAAAAAACAAAAAGUGUAGAAAUAAUACAGAGUUUCAGAAAAAUAAACAAUAAGAAAUCACUAGUUGAUUAGUUACAUAUUGUCAUCUUAGAAGUAGUUGUUCAAGUUACAGAAUUAAAGCCUACAAAGUUAUAUUCAAAUAAUGACACUGCGAACAGUUCACCUCAAUGAUCCAACAAAAACUUAUUAAUAUGCUUAUCUGUCCUACACACUUGUUUUUUUCUUAAAGAGGGUAAGAUUAAACAUGACGAAACAGAAGACAACAGUUCAUAAAGAAACAAGGUAAGGAAACAGAUUUCAAAACAAGUCCACUGGAGAUGUUCACUGUCUAUCUUACUGUCUAGUUUUCUUCCAAAUAGUUGUUCCCAUUUUCACACACAUUGAAUAUAUACUGAACAUUAUAGAACUAAUCAAAUAAUUACAGGAUGAUGCAAGAUUUUUUCGGUCUUUAAGACUGAUUUUGGGGACGUCAAUAAUGACUACCAUAAUGUCUGUCAUUCUCUUUGUAGUAGAUGUCUUUAUCUUUAUGUAUGCUGAAACUGAACAUAAGAGACUAGACUAAUGUCACUCUGAACAGUGCAUAGUAGUAUUCAGAGAAGGAGAAGCAUGAGGAAUUGCCUAAAAGAAAAGGCAGAGGACACUGUUAAAAGUGUAUCAGGAUUUAAAAGCUACAGUAGUCUUAUUGCUCUGUUUAGUUUGAUUAUAUUUUGUUCUGGUCUGUUACUCAUAUUAGAUUUGAGGGCACAGAGAGAUAACCCAAAAAUAGCAGGUUAUACCAUGGUAACUAUCCUUAAUUUCCAAUUAACUUAAACUGAAAGCCUGUAUUACUUACAUUAUCUUCUAUGACUGAUCUUAUUUGAAACUGGUUUGUUUGAAUGCUAUUUGGCCUUGACUGUUUUUAUUCACAUUUGGUAUGCUUGCUGGUAUCAAGUCCAAGAGUAGAGGCAACUACUGUGAAGAUGACAAGAUGUAAAAGAUAUCUAUUGGGGGGCUGGGGAUUUAGCUCAGUGGUUUAAGCACCUACCUGGCAAGUGUGAGGUCGUGAGUUUGAUCCCCAGUACCAAAAAAAUAAAUAAAAGAUAUCCAUUCCAGGUUUGAUUAUUAACUGCUUUCACGUCCUACAAUGUCUUCAAAGUUGUAUUUUUAUACAAAUAGCUAUGUAAUGUUUUGCUGAACUAUAUAGUGCCUGAUGAUGUGGACAAUUCUAUUGAAAAGAAUAAGAGAAAGCAUAGUAAUACUGUACAUCACCUCAUAUUGUGGUCUUAUAUAUCUUUUACAUAUCAUGAUUUUCUAGGAAUUGGUUUUGUUGUCUUGUUUUGAUCUGUUUUUCCCCAUAAUACAGAAAAGAUAGAUAUACACAUAGAGAUUCACACAUGGGAGUAAUUUCUAACCUAUUUAUGGGAACAAAUAAUAUAAUACACAAUGUAAUGAACAGAUACUCUGAAGAAGAAGAGACACUAAGAAACCCAAUGCUAAUUCUGUAGCAUUAUGAUAUAAAAUCGUGUAAUACUAUUAUUCACUGUUCAGAGUGAUAUUAGUCUAGUCUCCUAUUUUUUGGUGAAUUAUAAUUUUAGCACAGAUUUUGCUUUAAUCUUUUGAUGCACAUGCUUCAUUUUCUCUUUCAUAAAUGAUGUUUCUGAAGUUGAUGCAAUCUUUGGCAUUAAGAUAUACAUUUAUAGAGGCUUGGAGCAUAUGUUUUUGACAAAGUUGUGUUCUUUUCACAUAAGUUGUACAUUAAUGUAUGUUAUGUUUUCCAUGUUGUGAUGAGACAAGAUACCUGCUGAUUUCCUAACAUCACUGGAUAUCAUACCAUGCACAUUAUGUUGCCUGAUUUUCUUUCUCAGUGGAGCCAAUAUUUGUCAUUUAAGUAAACCUUUGUUUUUCUAACCAUCAGAAUUUUACCUGUUAUGUUUAUAUUACAUCUUUUCUUUGCUAGUAAUGUUUCCCCACAUGUACCAAAAGUGAACCAUACUACUGUGAAUUUCUGAUUGCCACAUACUGAUAGAACCAUAACUUGUCUCCAAUAACAUAUCACAAAAUGUAUUAAUGUCUCCAGAAUUUAUAAAAUUUGGCUGAUUUAUGAGUAACCAUACUUUGAAAUCAUUUUUUCUUACAUGUGGAGUUGUUUUGGGGGAAAAGGUUGUUAUUGGAUAUAUCAUGAAAAUGCCUUUAUUUUAUUCCUUGAUGCUGUGAAUGCAUUAUACAUUUUGUCAUUAUUACUGCUUUUUACUAAAACACUGAAGUAAUGGCAUAAAGGGAAACCUAAAUUUUGAGCUGUCAACACAGUAAAAAGUAUAUUUGCAAAUUAAGAUUCAGAUUGUGUUCUGUUUUACUAAAUUGUGAAUUUAUACAAUGGCAUAUUUUUUUAUUUAUAAGGACUAGUGCCCGAUGUUUGUGGUGUGUGCCGAUUAUCUUUAAACACAUAUCUUUAAACACUGGGCCAUAAGACCCAGUUGGUUUCCUGUGGCCUGUGGUUUUCACUUCCAUUUUAACAUUCAUGUAAUUUGUAAAGUGAUACUGCAGUGUUGUUGAAUAAAAAAUCUGCUUAGGUUCCAAUAGAAUUCUGUUGUUAAAAACUGAGGUUUCAUGCAAACACAAGUGAACAUUGCAUUAAAUACCCCUAAUCCAGUGAAGAUGGCUUGCCCAAGUCUCAGUUAUCAUUGAGAAAAUAAAUUGCCUGUUGUGCAAUCACCACUAAAAUUAUAUCUAUUUUGUACCUGAAGAACCUGAUGUACUUCACAAAGUAAAAGAUACUGUGAAGUACAUUGUCAGCCUCUAUGCGCUAUAGCAUGUGGCUGGAUUCCCUGCAGCACAUUUCUGCUUACCAUCAAUGGGAAAAUUUGGAGUUUGUAUUACAGCUAAUAAUAGUAUACUGAAUCUAUAAGACAUAUAUCCUGAGUACAUGCACUUUCUCAUUUUAUCAUGAAAGUAAGUCUUACUGGUCCUGUUGAUGCAUGCUUGUAAUCCUAGCACUGCAGUUGGCUUAAAUUAGUGGAAGAGGAAGUUGAGUCCAACGUACAAAUUAGUGUGAACUUAUCUCAACAUAUAUCUUCAAGUUCUGCAGAUGUAGCUUAAUGCUUUAGAUCUCCUCUCUUUCUGUGAGUAUUUUUUAAUACUCACAAUUACACAUCAUUAGUUGUCCUUUUAUCACUUGGCCACCUAGCAGUUAUCCCUGAGAAUCACUUGGGAAGCACAUUUGUUUAUGCAGUUUAUCCUGAGCAUCAUUGGGGUCAGUUGUCAAUGUAACCCAUUCAUUCUUGAAUACAGUAUGAAUACAUUCAUUCUAUUGGCCUGUGUACAGUAUGAAUACAUGCAUUCUAUUGAAUACAGUAGAAUUGUCACUUUUAUAUUCCUUGUUAUUUUAUAAAAACUAACAAAAAGUAUGCAAUUUUUGAUCAUUUUGUAUUUAAAUAAUUGCAUUGGUAAGGAGUUACCUAUAAAGAUUAGGCUAAAGGUGAUUUCUUUAGUCCCAGCAUCAGGAGAGAAUGAGGUGGGAUGAUCUUGGCUUUGAAGCUGACUUUGGGAGGCAACUGCUAGAUGAUUUAGCAGAAUGUGAAGCAAAUUGUUUUUAUCCCUGCAUUUGAAGUUUAAGGAAACAAGUAAGUCAAGGUCAAGAAUAUAAAUGUACAAUAGGAUAAAAGAAUCACUACUGCAAAUUGUGAUUUUUCUUUCACUCAGGAAAUGUACUUUUUUUGGUAAUAUGUGCAGCAGUCUCAAAUAUGCCUCUAUUAGAGUAAAACAUAGUGAAACAAGAAAGGACCAGACAUUCCAUGUUCUGAAUGUAGAAGUAUUAAAAAACAUUUUUAUUAAUACUAUUGCUGCUAUUUUGUGUAGAAAAUAAGGUAGGGUGACAAAACAAGCAAAAAGGACUUUGUAAGAUUUUAAUCCUCCUGCAUGAACAUAGAAAUCACAAAAAAAGUGAAACCAAAAGGAUGAAGAAGUAAACUAAAGAAUGAGAGAAAUUUUGCCUGUGACUCCCUGACAGCUAACAUGUAAUACCAAUAGGAACAUAAAAGGAACACACAUUUUUCAGAAUAUGUACAAAUUGCCAAGAAAUACCUGAAGAACUAUUGAGCACUUUUGCACAAUAGAGAAAUGCAAAUAGGGACAUCAUCUCAUUGCAAAGAGAACUAAUCACCACAAGAUCUAAAGAACAUUCAUGAGACUAAAGGAGAAAAGGAACUGUUUAACCUUGUUGGUGGAAAUGUAGGUAAGUAGUUCAACUACUACUGAAGUCAGUUUUUAAAGUAUUCAAAAGACUAAAAUUAGUAAUUCUCAUUAGUGCAGUGCUUCCUUUAGUGGGUCUCUUCCUCAAAGAGUUAAGGACAUAUUGCAGUGAUGCAUGCAGAUUCCUGUUACUGCAGCAAUAGUCAUUUUCCUGUGAAGAGCAGCAGCAAUCACUGCUCCAUCACCACCAAAUACCAAUGAUGAACAACAAAUACUCACCAGUGUACUCCGUUUGAUAAGUGAUGUGAUAUUUUAUUGUGAAUUGUGCUGUAACUUAGGUUUUCCUAGUAGACUACAGGUCAUCAUAAAUAUGAUAGUCAUGCUAAUGUCACAAGGCCAUCACUAGGACACUAUUACAUUCAUUAGAUUUGAUGUAUUUAUCUUUUUGAGGAAGCAUGUUGCUAUGAAGUUCAGACUGGCUUUGAGGUCACAUUAUAACCCAGAGUGGUCUCAAACAAUUCUCCUUUCUCAGUGUCUCAAGUACUGGGCUCCACACAAGAGCCACCAAGCCUAGUUUAGAAUUGGUAUAUUAAGUGCAUAUUCAGGAUAUUUUAUUUCAACUCUUUUUGUUAUUAAAGCAUUUCCAUAUUUUACCUCCAGUGUCUGAAUAAACAUCGGCCUUAUUGAGAUGGUGAUGUGCAUACCACCAGCCUCCUGACAUUCUCUGCUGGGUUCAGCUUCCAAGGACCUGCACCUGCCCAGGAGGAUCUGCCCUCAAGGCGUGUCAUCAGACCCAGUCACAAUGUUGACUUAGGGCAGGAAUUGUGUAGGGAGACUCAUAGUGGUGGCCAGGCUUUAAUGUACCUCUGCUGGACUCCGUGUGUCUGAGUGGCUGGUGGCUGAGUCUAGUGACACCUCUCCUGGGCUCCCUCCUGCCUCUGGGCCCUGAAGGCUGGGGACAGUGAGCCCAGUUGUUUAAUGCCCUUGUCAUUUGGCAUUUGCCAGCAAUCAUCCUGAAGGCUGUGGAAUGAGUGAACCACUUUUUCAGUCAUUCCCACAUGUUCUACCUAUGCGAGAUCCUAAGGCUGGGGUCUUGUGUCCUGGGAAAGCAGCAUAACAUGCUCCCUGUUCACUCUCUAGAGCCAACUGUCUGUGAAGACAAAUUCACCAGACCAACGUGCUUGCUGGCCUGAGCCUUCAGAGUUCUGUUUGGACCUGUCUCCAAGGAAGUAAGGUCAUGCACUGGGGUCCAGAGUUUGGCCUUCCUCUGUGAUAUCACCUUUCUUUUUGUUGUGGAACAAAUCUAUGUCCUCCUUAGAAACAAGAAGUUAAAAUGCUAGAAAAACUGUGUAUACUUUUAGACUUUAUUACACUUUGAAGAUUUUAAUGCAGCAAACAUGUAGAUGCUUCAGAUGUGUCAGGCUGGGUGCCAAACACAAAUUUCCAUCCAAAGGGUCCAUUGUCUCAGAGGAUGAAGGACUCAUUGUCUUCUGUUAAAGAUUUGUCAAAUGUUAGGAUGACUUCCUUUCCUGGGCUUGUGUUAGUUUCCUUUCAGUUCCAUUAGGGAGCAGAAAACCCAUAAUAAUUUUACCAAAGAAUGUGAAGAUCUCAUAACCCCCAUGUGUCCAGGGGAGGAGGAUUCAUAGCCAGUUCUACUCUCACAUGCUUAUGAAUGAUUAUUUAUCCAUCCUUAGAUGUUUAACUCAGCCAUACACUGUAGUACUCCACACUCUGACCUCCUGUGAGGGGGGGCAGCAGGUGGUGCAUACAAGAGGAGGUGACAUCAUCAUCCCGUACUGAUGAAGGACACAUGUGCAUAGCUCCUGGGGAACUUGUCUCAUAGCUGCUGCUAUCAAUUCCUUUCCUCCCAUCCCAAUCAGACCAUAGGCUUUGUGUCGCUGAUGGGUAGUUUGCCUUUCCUAGAGGUGAUGGCACUGAGCCUUUUCAGUUGCAGUACUCUUUGGUUGGUCUCCUUGAAGCAGUGUAUCCAUGCUGUCACCCUGUGCUGCCACCUCCCACUAUUAUGGGGCUGAACCAAGCAAAUUUGACUUUUCAUGUACCUGUCACCCAUCCUGUGAUGGCCAUUUGUUAUGUUUCCGGGUUGGACAAAGAAAGCAAGCUGCCACACCCAUUCUUACACAAGUAUUUGAGUGGAUACCAACAUUUAUUUCAAAGAAAAUGCAACAUAUUGCUGGUGUAUGGAUAACUUAGAAAUUCUUACUGUAUCUUUGGAAGCAGAUGUUUAAAGUAGAGUUAUGUGCUUCCUUUUAUUAUUUUAUUUUGUGUUAUUAUGCUGUACUAUGCUAUGCUCUGUUGUGUUAUGUUAGAUGUUGGUAAGGAUUUCAAAACUCCCUCAGUGUUUUCAGUGCUUUCUGAUUUGAUUUUGUGUAACCAACCUGAUGAACUUUGAGAAUAUCACAUAAGUCUGAGCAAUUUUGUUUUGGAGAAAAUUUAAAAAGGAAAGCACAAUCAGAGGUGUUGGUGCACACCUGUCAUUCCAGGACUCCAAAGGCUGAGGCAGGAAGAUUGUGAGUUUGAGAUCAUCCAGGACUACAAGGGAAGAUCAAAGCCAGACUGAACUGCAUAGCAAAACCCUGUCUGAAGAAAAAAGGAAAGAAGAAAGAGAGAGUGAAAAAAAUAUAAAAAUGAAAAGUCAAAAAUCGCCUUUCUAGUGAGAAAUCAAAUCUUUGUGAGGUUCUUUUGCACGUGUACUUUGGUCAGCACACCUAGCAUAAGGUUUACCAUCAUGGAUACAUUGAUGUGCUUCCUGCUGUUUAUACUCUUUCAAUUUUUUAAUGCUUUUUACUUAGAUGACUGCAGAUAUGCUGCUGAAUAUAUCCUCUUAAGAUUUGGGUAGUUCAGUAUGAAGAGAUUUUGAUCAUUCUGGUUUUUUUUUCUGUCCUAAAUUUAUAUUUAGAACCAGAAUUUGAGCAAGUGAUUACUAUUUUUAUUUUGAAAUAAUAAUAAGAAUCAUAUAAAGAUACACUUUUUAAGUCUAUAAAAGAUAAAAUAAGUAUAGAUUAAUAGUGGUUAAUGUACUUUGUUCAGUGACUUCUGAGAUUUCUUAAUGAUCAAUAUUUUCCUACAUUUGUAAAAGCUUUUGUUUUGUACAAAUUUUAAGACAUGGUCUCACUAAUUUUCUAAGUGUCCCAGGCUAGGCUUAAAACUUUCCUCAUCUUUCCUCCCCCUCCCAGAGUGCUGGGAUUACAGGUGUAUAUUAUCCUGAGUUGGCAAUUGGUAGCAAUGUUGUGUAUUCAUGGAAUAAAAUGUUCGGCUUUGGUCUUCAGACACUUCAUAGAAAGAGUCACUCUAGUUAAGCUGCCUGCCACCUUCCUAGCCUGCAGUUUCUUUCACAGUAAGUAGGACUCAAAAUCCCAUUAACACUGUUAGUAGAUUCUCGGAUUUUCUAACUGUGGUCAGCAUGCACUUGAGAAGAUCACUCCAAAUGAAUUUUUUGGGGCACCUGGGAAAGGAAUGAGGAAGCUGUAAUUAGGGAAAAAGUAGAAGUAGCCAUAUGGGUAAGCAUCCCUGAUUUGGCCAUUCACCCUGAUGACCUACCACCAUGAUGUCCUGUGAUUUAUUCUAGGGCAAAACACUUUCGAGUACAUCCUUCACUUUGAAGAAAUGAAAAUAAAGUAUUUUGGCUAUGUGUCUUCUUCCAUGGAUGUUGGUAAACAACACACAAGAAAAGUUUUUAGUCUUUUCCUUAAUGCAUUGUAUAUACCAUAAACAAAACUACAGAUUAGUUCUCUUUCAGAAAACAGAAGAAGCACGGAAAGGAAGGUAUAAACUCCUUCAAUGCAAGUGUCCCUUAAAAGGUCAGAUGAACAUUUAAGAAGACAACUAUUACUGUUUCUCUGACUUCAAGAAAGAGAAAAAUUUAUACGGUGUUACUAUAGGAGAAUGAGACAUCUGAGCUACUAUGUCUGGUAUGAGUUUGUAUUCUUUGAAAUCAAUAACUGAAUUUUAGGAACAACAGAUGUUAAGAGUAGAAUAUACUUAUUGGGAGAAAGAAAGCUGUCUGAGAAAGACAAGUGUUUCUGAGUGGUUUGGUAAAAACUGUCUUUGUAGGAACUUUUAUAGAGUAAAUUCAUGUGGUGAGAUGGGUUGAAGGUGUGGAAAACUGGGAACUCACAAUGCAGAUGGACAUAAGAUGGGACAGAUCUAUGGCAGCCAAUAAGAUUAAUAGUUCUGAUAAAGCUGAUUAAAUGGGAACAAAUGGGGAAAGGAGUCACAUAGAAAGCAGGCAUUCUUAGACAGCAGUGACUCUUCCCUUAGGAGGUUGGGAUGGUGACUCCCAACAUCCCCAGGAUCAUAGGAACUAUUUAGAAUAUCAGUCUUUGAGAUAGAGAUACAUUUAUUUGAAUGGUGACUCCUCACUCCCUCAGAGUCAUAGGGAACUAUUUAGAAUAUCAGUCCUUAGGGUAUGGAUGAAUUUGCGUGAUUUUCUGUCUUGAGGCUUGGCCCAUAGCAGGAGGUGUCCAUCUUCUCCAUAGUUGCAAGUUGUCUGCGCUUCUGCAUGGGCUCAUUGGAGGACCUAACCCUGUCUCACUGCCAGUGGUAUUUGACUAACGCAGUUUCCCAUAACACUAUUGUUCAGAAAAUUGAAUACAGAUGUCUUGUGCUCUGGGUGAACGAUUUGGGGAUGACAGUGUACAAUGUAUAUACCAUUGUUUUCCCCUGUUUGACAUGUUUUGAAAUUCGUUUUAGUUUAUGUUUUCUUUUUAUCCUUGAAACCAAAUGGGUUUGGAAAUAAAAAGCCUGAGGUAAAGCUCUUUGACAGAAAUAUUGCACUAUCGAGCUGCGAUCAACACCGUAGUAGACAGCCAACUCCAGAAAUCUCUGCACUAUAGUCUAUCAUUUGAGGUCCUCUCUUGCAAGGAGGGGCUCCUUUCACUGUUUAUUUUGACUCAGAAGGAGGGCAGUAGAUCAGGAGUCAAUCAGUGAUGAAGAGGCGGGCUAUAUGAAAAGUCCAACCAGGCAGGACAUGGUAGGUGGUCUCUUAGGUUUCUUCCAGUGUCUAGGCAUUAUCUACUUGUUCUGAGCACAAAACUGGGAGCAGAAUGCUUGCUGGAUCUCAUUUAGUGCUUUCAAUAUCCUGUGGCCUGAUUAGCAAAGAACCUUGGAGACCCUCUAGCCACAGGAUGCAGAGGUUGUGGAUGGGAACACAGAAAUAGGGUGGAAUUGGGCAAAAUCAGUUACAAGGGGUUAGAAGCAGUUCUGGUGUCUGGAGCCUCAGAUAUUUAGUUAACUUCACCUCCUGAGGUCCUCCAGCAUUGGCCAUGGGUCAUCCACUGUCCCUUUUGACUCUUACUGGGGGUAAGGGUGAUUCUGCAUCCCCAGAACCCUGACCUCACUAUGACAGCAACAGACUCUAGUAUCAUCUUUGAAAUUCUCUACUGCCCUGGCACCUCCACGAUAGUGGACAGGGUAAGGAUAUUAGAGAGACACUGACUCUGAUGCGUUUUGUAAUUGGUGUAAUGGUACUGAACUUGGUCUCUGUUCUCAUUUUAGGUAGCAGCAAAUCUUAAUUGUCUGAAGUUUAUAAAUGUCUGUAAUGCAGGGCCUCAUAGCCACAAAAGCAUUCCUUAAACUUGUGCUUUUUUGUAUCUAUAGUGAUCACGUAAAUUUAUAGUAUGUUCUCAUAUUUCCAUUCUUAUGACAGGUUUUGGAAAGGGUCCUGAGAAUUCAGAGAUUUGUAGUGGUGUGCCUCAGUGGAGGAAGGCUUCCCAAGCACCUGGUGAACUCCUGUGUAUUAUACAGAACAAUGCAAAGAAUUUCUGAACAUAGUUAAAUAUUUAGGUGACACCCCUGCUCAAAGACAAGGUUUGUGAGAACAGCCAUACAGUUUUGAAUUCUGUGAAAAAUGAUGUAGAUAUGAAAGUGUUAUCAAGGGCAGGGUAAAAUGUUCUUGCUAAGGACAAAUUCCAAAAUGGGAUGCCUGUUAAAUCCUUAUUGAAAAUGCCUAAGUUUAAGACAUUUGCAUGGAUGUGAUAUCCUUCUGAAUGGAAAGGAAUAUGGGUGUCAUCUCUGAAUUAACAGCUGAUUUAAUAGCUUGGUUGAUCAUAGACAUUGUUUAAAUAUGGAAAUGCUCUGCAAUGGACUUUACUAAGUGACGUAAAGGAGAUGCUCUAAAUUGAAAUUUUGCAGGGAUAUCAAUAGUUAGGCAUGAAGCGUUUUCUGCUUAGGGUGGAUCAGAGGAGCAUCGAAAGGAUGUGGAAGUGAUUGGUAUGAUGCAGGGUGCCAAUAGCAGGACAUACAACAGGGAGGGUCUUCACUGAAAAUCAGGUAGUUCUUAGGAUAAGCAUGAAGUUGAAGUUGGGUUCUGAUUGCUUCCUUGAGGUGAAUAACACCAGCUCUGGCAACAAUCAGUAUUCUACAUCCUUGAAACCCAUGAAUUCUGUGUUCCAUACUUGAGAUGUAAUUUUGAUUAUCUCUACUUAUGCCUCAGUGUCAUGAAGGUGAAAUUUGAUUUUUUUUUUUUGAAACACAGAUUGAACUCAUGACCUCAUACUUGCCAGGCAGGAUUUCAUGUUACUAAGCUAAAUAGCCAGCAAUGAAUAUGUUUUCUGUAUACUAUGGAACAUGUCAAAAUUAUUCCUCAGAAAGUGUUGAAUGUUGUUGGAAUUUUACUAUAAUGUACAGCUAUAGUUUUUGAAAUCAAACCAAAAGUGUCUUAUGCAGUCAGUUUUCAAGUUUCACUUUGUGGGAUUUUACAGUCAGGACCUCUCUAUUUCAUACAGUUCUGUAACUGAGGUUGGCCUCAAUCUCAAGGCAUUACUCCUGAAUCAUCCUCCCCAGAUAUAUUUCUUAUAUCUGAGUGAAAGGUAAUCACUUGGUGACACUAAGCUAUAAUUUACAACUUGUGCCUGGUUCCAUUGUUUAUACAUUGUUUACAUAAACAAUUUUCCAUUAACAUUUGAGUUAUAAUUUAGGUACCACAUUUCAUUUUAUUUAUGUUUUGUUCUAUGAAAUGUAUUUCAAAUUUCAAAAUGCUUCUUAAGUAUAUUAAGAACAAAUAACUCAGUGGCCUAAAUAAGAUUUGAAGAGAUAUCAUCUGUAAUCUAUCAAAGUUAUUGAUGAGAUAUUUGUCUGCCUUUGUGCUUUGUGAAUGCUGGUCCUGCAGCCUCCCAUUGUGAGCUCUGCUUUAGAGACAGUGCACAGGGACUCUUGCAGUGACUCAGCCCAAAAUCAAUGCUCCUUUUUAACUGUUACAUUAAAAAUGAGUUGCAAUCUAGCAUCAAAAUUACUGUCUCAAACAAUGUGUAUAUGCACAAAAUUAAUGACAGAGACAUGGAAUUAAGAUUUGUUAAGUUUAGUUUUAUUGAGACAGGCUUUCACUAUGUAUAUCAGCUGUAUUUGGACCCCCUAUGUAGGCUAGAAUUGCCUUGAACUCACAGCAGCCUUCCUGUUUCAGCCUAUUUAUUGCUGGGAUUAAAGAUAUGCAUGACCAUACUUAGUUUUUGAUUCACAUUUUUAUGAGAGAAUUUAAGAUGUCCCAGGCUUGAGUCUCAAACUUCUUUUGAGAAAUACAUGUGUAUUUCUCAUGUGGCUGUGAACUUCAGCAGUGAGGAGUGGACUUUGCUGAGUCCAUCCCAAAAGAAAGUCUACAGAGAUGUGAUGGAGGAAACCUUUGAAAAUGUAUAAAAUUGCAUAUAAAUGAGUAUAAAAAACAUACACUUUGAGUUUUGAUAGGAUCCGACCUUCAGUUUACCUACCCAUGUAUACAUUUGAGUACAAAACAAUCAUUAUCAAAAAAUUGCUAAAACUGCAGCACAAUUUGAAAUAUAAAUGAAUGCUCAUGUUUCAAAGCCAUUCUCAAGAGAAUCAGUCCCUUCUAAUUAAAAUUCUUAGUAGACUGGUGUUAUGUUAAGUGAAGUUACACUGAAAAUCAUUAUGCAGUAGUCUCUAGAAGUUGAUCCCAUCAUACUUCUCCUGAAUUGUAUUUUCAAAAGAGUCAAAACAAACAUAAAAUACAGAUACAUGCUUAUUCAUAUGCAAAGCAGAUCAAGUUAUAACAGAUGAGGCCUUGAAGCAGCUUAGCUAUCACUGGAUUUGUGGAGAAGGAAAAUAUUAAUAGUUUCUGUGUGAGUGUGCAUUCUUGUAAACCCAGCACCCUGGGAAUAAGAUUUUGCAGAAUGGCAAAUUCAAGUUCAAACUUAAAAGCUUAAUCAUCAGUGAAAAUCUCUUAAAAUAAAGAAGCUAGACAUUUAGUGCUGACACCUGUGGCUGAUUUUGAGUAUGGAAAACAAUAAAAUAUGUGCUAUGUAAUCAGUGAAAAAUAAAUAAUGUAAUGUCAUUUGCCAUAAAAAUAAUUGGUUGCUCCUCCCAUCAAGUUCAGUGAAAUAGCUCAGCUACAAAAUGUAAAAGGUCACAGUGUUUCUGUUAGAUGAGACACCAAAAUAUAAAUUGUGGGGUGAAAUGAAAGAGAGUUGAUACAGAAAGGUAAGCCUGAUCAUUUGGAUAAGGGAACUACAGGCUAAGGACAGAAAGGAGAUGGCUAUUGGGGAAAAAUCAGAAUGAUCAAUAUGUGAUACACAUAUAGACCCAUGCCCAAAGUGAAGCUAAAUGUUUUGCAUUUCAAAAUAUACAAACUUUUAAGAUUCCCAAAUGUAUACCACUCUUUUGGAAAUGGUUGUUUUCCAAAUAUCUUGCAAGGCAUUCAGUUACUUCAUUGCCAGAAUUUCUUAGCAGGCAUCAAAACUGAACUUGUCAUUAAGGCAGUCAUUAGUACAGAGACCCAUUUCAGUGUGAUUUUUUUCCUAUUUUAAAUUUUAUUUAAAGAAAGACUAAAUACAGAAAAUGGGUAGAAAUUAUACUACUCUCAAAGAAAAAAAAUAAAUAAGAAGUAACAUGUUGAUGAUUACAUGAUAUCCACUUGUAAGUAGUUGCUUAAGACACAAAAUUGAAGCAUAUAAAGUGGGGUCUCAAACAGCUAGACUGCAAAGAGUUCUAUUUAAAUACCCAACAAAAACUUAGUAAUAUAGUUAUCAGUCCUAUAUGUAAUUUAUUUCUUUACAGAAAUGACAAGGUAGGAAAAUACUAUGGACUUACAUCUUGCAAUCAGUAUAAAGAAGUAUUCCUUUGUACUCCAGAAAAUAUGGUUGUGAAAGAAACAGACACAAACUAUGAUAUUCAGAUCCAUGAAAAAUAUCAAAAUAGAGGGAAACAUAUGUAUGUGAGCAAUGUGGGAAACUUUUGCAACAUGUGGAGAUUAUAAGAAACAUAAAAGAAUUCACACUGGAGAGAAACCAUAUGUAUGUAAUUUAUGUGGGAAAACUUUUUAUACAGGUGGAGAUUGUAAGAAUCAUGAAAAAAAUUCACACUGGAGAGAAACCUUUGUAUGUAAGCAAUGUGGGAAAGCUUUUACCGCACAUGGACAGUGUAAGAAACAUGAAAGAAUUCACAGUGAAGAAAAACCCUAUGUAUGUAAGUAAUGUGGGAAAGCUUUUACCCAACAUGAAAAUAGUAAGAAACAUGAAAGAAUUCACACUGGAGAAAAAUUUCUUUUAUGUCAGCAAUGUGGGAAAGGUUUUACCACAUGUGGACAGUGUAAGAACCAUGAAAGAAUUCACACUGGAAAGAAACACUCUGUAUGUGAGCAAUGUGGGAAAGGUUUUACCACAAGUGGGCAAUGUAAGGAACAUGAAAGAAUUCACACUGGAGAAAAACCAUAUAUAUGUAAGCAGCGUGGGAAACUUUUUACCCAAUGUGGACGUUGUAAGCAACAUGAAAGUAUUCACACUGGAGAGAAACCCUAUGUAUGUCACCAAUGUGGGAAAGCCUUUAUGCAUUUUCACACCCAAGAUAAACACAUAGUUAAAUUAUAUAAAAACAAUUAUAAUUAUAUAAAAAACACAGUACAGCUUACCAGAAUCUGGGAGAUGCAAUGAAGGCUGUCCUCAGAGGAAUAUUUAUUGCACUGAGUUCCCACAUCAGGAAAACAAGGAAUAUAAAUAAACAACCUGAUGCUACACCUCAAACAUCUAGAAAGACAAGAGCAAGUGGAGCCCAAAGCCAAAAGAAGGGAGGAAAUUUUAAAAAUUAGAGCAGAAAUUAAUGUCAUUUAGACUAAGAAAACAAUCCAAAAAUCAAUGAAUCACAGAGGUGGUUCUUUGAAACAACAAAUAAAAUUGGUAAGAUCAUACCCAACCUUAUAAUAAAAAUGAAAGGAAAAGCUCAAACUCAGGCACUAAGGAAUGAGAAAGGUGAAAUCACCACAGACUCUGUGGAAAUACAGAAGAUCAUCAACACCUAUUUCAAAACCUCGACUCUCAUAGGUUCAUCAACAAAGAAGAAAUGGACAGAUGUCUUAGAACAUAUGAAUUACCCAAGCUGGGUGAAGAUGUAAAACUUCUGAAUAACCCAAUUUCUAUUUAUGAAAUUGAAAAUGUAUAUUAAGUUCUUAUCUACAAAGAAGAGCCCAAGUCCAGUCGGAUUCACUGCAGAAUUCUACAAGAAAUACAAAGAAGACUGAAUGCUGACACUUCUCAAAAUCUUCAAUGAAAUUGAAAGGGAAGCAAUUCUUCCUAAGUCAUUCCUGGAAGCAAAUAUUACUCUAGGACCAAAACCUGAGAAAGGCCAAGCUAAGAAAGAGAAUGAAAACCCAACUUCCCUAAUGAGCAAAGAUGCCAAAAUCCUUAAUAAAAUAUUGGCAAACAGGAUGCAGCAAAUCAUCAUGAAGAUUAUACAUCAUGACCACAAGGGAUUCAUCACAGGAAUGCAGGGUUGGUUCAACAUGUAUAAAUUAAUAAAUGUAAUCUAACAUAUCAAUUAAGCCAAACAUAAGAGUCACCUGAUCAUUUCUAUAGAUGGAGAAAAAAGCUUUUGUAAAAUUCAUUCAUGAUAAGAACCUUACAGAAAACUGGAAAAGAUGGUCUUUACCUCAAUAUGAUAAAGGCCAUCGAUGAGAAACCAACAGCCAGUAUCAUAUUAAAUGGCCAAAAAUUGAAUGCCUUUACCUUAAAAUAAGGCACAAGACAAGGAUGUCCCUUAUCACUGCUUCUAUUCAACAUAGUACUGGAAAUACUAGGCAUAGCAAUUAGAAAAGAGAGAAAUAAAUUGGGUAAAGAUAGGGAAAGAGGAAGUUAAAUAAUCAUUAUUUGCAGAUAACAUGAUAUUCUACAUAGAAGACCCCCAAAACUCCAUUGAAAGUCUCCUAGAUAUAAUAAAUUCAGCAAUGUAGCUGGAUACAAAGUCUGUACCAAAAAUCAAUAGCAUUCCUAUACACAAACAAAUAAAUCAUUGAGAGAAAAAUGAGAAGCCACACCAUUCACACUAGCAUCCAAAAAAAAAAAAAAAGAGAGAAAUUCUUAGGAAUUAAUCUCAGAAAUGAAGUAAAAUACCUAUAUAGGGUAAAUUAUAAUACCCUGAAAAAGAAAUCAAAGUUGGUCUCAGAAAAUGGAAAGACAACCCUUGCUCAAGGAUAGGAAGAAUAAAUAUAGUGAAAAUGGCCAUUCUCCCAAAACUGUUAUAAAGAUUCAGUGCAAUCCCAAUAAAAAUACCAUCAACAAACCACAUAGAUCUAGAAAAAUCACUCCUAAAAUUUAUCUUGAACCAGAAGAGAACUGGAAUGGCAAAAGCAGUUCUAAGCAACAAAGGCAAGGCAGGAGGCAUCACAAUCCCUAACUUGAAGUUAUAUGACAAAACUACUGUAAUAAACUCAACAUGGUUUUGGAAUAAAAACAGAUCUGACGAUCAAUAGAAUAGAUUAGAUUAUACAAUCACAACUACCGACACACUCAACUACUUUAUCUUUAAUAAAGUGGCCUAACAUGUUCACUGGAAGAUCAAUAGUCUUUUUAAUAAAUGGUGCUGGAAAAACUGGCUUUCCAUAUGCUGAAAACUAAAACUAUUCCCAUGGCUAUCACCAUGUACUAAACUAAAUUCUAAAUAGAUCAAAGAUCUGACAGAAACACUAAAUCUGUUGGAAGACAAAUUAGGUAAAAAUCUUGACGACAUUGGGGUAGAUAGAAAAUUCAAGAACAGGAAUCAAAGUGCAUGGGAAAUACUUCGCAGAAUCAAUAACUGGGAUCACAUAUUAUUAACAUGUUUCUGCAUAUUAAAAGAAAUAUUCAGCAGAGUGAAAAGAAAACCCACAAACUGGGAAAAAAAUCUUAGUGAACUGUCCCUCAGAUAAAGGAUUUCUCUCUAAAACAUGUUAAGAAAUUUUAAAAAAAAAUCAGACUCCAAAAAUUCAAAGACCCAAUCCAAAAAUGGCAUCUGAGAUGAAUACUCAGUUCUCAGAUGAAGAAAUACAAAUGGCAAAUAAAUACAUGAAAAAAUGUUCAUCAUCAUUGAUCAUUAGAGAAAUGCCAAUUAAAACCACACUGACAUUCCAUCUCAUUCCAGAAAGAAUGGCCAGGAUCAAGAAAACUACCAACAACAAAUGCUGGAGUGACUGUGGGGGAAAAGGAACUGGUUUAGACUGGUGCAAUCAUUAUGGAGAUCAGUCUGGAGAUUCUUCAAGAAUCUGGAAUUGGAAUUCCCAUUCGACCCAGCUAUUCCACUUCUAGGCAUAUUCCCAGAGGAACUGAAAAUAUCAUACAACAGUGAUAUAUGUGUACCCAUGUUGAUAGCAGCACAAUUUGUAAUAACCAGAUCUGGAAACAACCUAAUUGUCCAUUAACUGAAGAAUGGAUAAAAAAGGUUGUGGUAUUUUUUAUGCAAUGGAGUACUCCUGGGCUAUAAAGAAUGAUCACAUUGAGAUAUUUAUAAAUAAAUGGACGCAACUUGAGACCAUACUCAUAAGUCACACUCACAACAAAGACCAGGGCUAUCCUGAAAGGCACCACAGGUGUCCUCAGUGACACGGAGGCCCUGGGCUCCUCCGAGGACAAGCACUGUCAGGUAUGUGCCAGGAAGCAGCAUGACAAAUUCAUCCUGGAGGCCAAGCAGCAUAUGUCUCCCCCUCCAAAGCCAGGAAGCAAUGCUCGAUUGGACCAAACCUCUCCAAGGGAACCAACAGCUCAGACAGCAAAUCGUAGGAGAACCCACAAUGGCUCCCUAACACCUCAACCCUCAUCUCCCUUCUUCUACACCUAUUUAUCCUGAAAACUUUCCUCAGGUGGAGCAACUUCAUUCAGUGCCAUGCUGAUAUAAUCCAGCUGGCAUUAAGUUGACCACCAGUUCUCAAUCCAUAGCAUUGAUUUUACUAUGGUUUCUUUGUAGUAUAACUUCAAGUCAGGGAUUGUGAUGCCUCCUGACUUGUCUUUGUUGCUGAGAACUUUCUUUGCUAUUCUAGGUCUCUUCUCACUCCAGAUGAAUUUUAGGAGUGAUUUCUCUAGAUCUAUGAGGUAACAAAACAUGAAUCAUGGAUGGACACAGAGUGAUAUUCAAAGAUUUGAGUUCAACAUGCUUGCCUUAAUCUGUAAAUAUUGAUGUGAUAUGCAUUGAUUACAUCUUCAACAUGAGGUUAUAGUGGAGCUGACAGAGAAGAAGCAAUGAAUGUCCCUUGGUGCAGACUGGACAGUCAUAUUCCAGAUGUCCAACAGCUAAGGUUUAACCAAACAAAAAGGAGGGAUAUGUUAGAGCCAUUGAAGCUGAAUACUCAUGCAGGGCUGUGAUGUGGCCCAGGCAUGAUUAAACUGAGAAUGAAGAGAUGCCUCCUGGGACAAGACAGGCCACAGCUGAGGCCACCUAGAUAUUUUCUGUGGGAUAGUUCUCUGCAGUUGGCAUCAUCUGUUUCUCUGAGGGGUCUUGAACCUCUACCAAGAUCCUUAUCAGGUUUCCUCCAUUGUCCACUCAACUCCUGCCAGCAUGAGUUGGCCAGCUGGCUAGCAGAGUGAUGAGCUCUGCCAUGGAUCACUCUUCUCAUGCAGCCCUGAAGACCAUGUCGUGUUUCUCAUUUCUUAGAGCCUUCUUGGGACCCUUUAUUGCCAUCUUGGUGCCUAAGAAAAGACCCCAACAUGAAAUAUAAAAUGUAUCUGUUUUAAAGACUCAGCACUGAAAUCUGGUAUUGUUGGAUGAUGACAGGACCAAGUAUCAAACCUGUUUAAGACAAUUCAAGUAUAUAGAAGUUGUUCUUUUGCACUGUAUUUUUUUUUGGUUCACCAAUGCCAAAUCCUCUUACAUGACACAACUUUCCUCAAGACAUUUCCAAUCCAAUCAAUGACCUACAUCUGAAUUAUUUUCUGUAGGACACACACAUAGAUAUGCAGGUUUUAUGAUAUGUCUCCACCCAGUCAUCCUGAUGAGAAAAUUAACAUUCUGGAGCCAUCUCAGGCCAGAGAGGAGAAACAGAAAUCUAAUUUUCCCUUCCUGUGAGCUGGUGGAAGUCAUAAGGGGAAUGGUGGAAAACUAGCCAACAUGCCCAUGUUGUGAUUCUGUGGAAGCUAUUCCAUUUCUCAGAAGAAAAGCAAGAAACUUACACUUCCUGUGAGCUAACUACUGUAUUGGCUGGGAGAGGAGCACCACAAUCACCUCCUCCCACCACCAUCUGACUGGUUUAGAGGACAUGCUGAGUUGAUAGCAAUGGAGGUAUAAAAACAACUUAAUCCUUGUAUUACUUGAUUGACUUUGCAGCCUAAGGAUAGUAUUCUUAAGCAUGUAUUUAAAUUGUGAAAUAAUGGUAAAAAAAAGUUGCAACAACUUCAUAAGUAUAUGAAACUUAACACUCUCCUAAACACCCAAUGGGUAACAGAUGAAAAAAGGAAGAAACUUAAAAAUAUCUACAACCUAACAAGAAUAUAGAUGCAAAAUCCUGUACCUUAUGGGAUUCAAUGAAAGCAGUCCAAAUAAGGAAAUUUAUAGUAGUCAAAUCUCACAUCAGGAAAUAGAAAGAACACAAACAAAUAAUGAAGUGUUGCAUCUCAAUCUUCCAGAAGAAGAAUGGCAAGACAAACACAAAUCCCAUACAAGGGAGGAAAUUAUAAGACCAGACAAGAAAGUCAUGCAAUGCAGAACAAGAAAAAUAUUCAAAGGAUUAACAAAUCAAACAGGUGGUUCACUGGAAGAAUAAACAAAAUUGAUUAACCCUUGGACAAUCAUAUCAAAAAAGAAAAAAAUAAAGAUUGAAAAACCAUGCACUGAGGAAUCAGAAGGAUAAAAUAACUACAGAUCUUGUGAAAAUUCAGAAGAUCAUCAAAAUCUACUGGAAAAAUGUAUACUUUCAUAGGUUAGAAAAUAUAGAAAUGCACCGAUACCUAGAUAAAUAUGAAAUGCCAAUUCUGUUCCAAGAAGAUAUAAAAAUUCUGAAAAACACAGUAUCAGUUAAUGAGAAUGAAGAUUUAAUAAAAAUUUAUCAGCUGCUGGGCAUGGUGGUACAGAACUUUGGAGGCUAAGGUACAAGUAUUGUUUUGAGUUUGAGACUAAACAAGGCUACAAAGUGAGCUCAAGGCCAACUUGAACUGAAUGAGAGCUGGUCUCAUGAGCACAUUGAAAAAUAAGAAAAACAAUGACAACAGAAAAGCAAAUGAUCAACAUAAAAAAAGUCUAGGUCCUGGUGGAUUUACUGCUGGAUUCUACAAUAAAUGUAGAAAAAAAAUUUAAGGCCACGGCUGUUUAAUGAUAUUGAAAGAGAAGCUCUUCUCCCUAACUCAUGCCUUGAGGCAAGUAUUACCCCGAUACUAACACCAGAGGAAGACCCAACCAAAAGAAGAAAACUAUGGGACAGUUUUCCUAAUGAACAUAGAAGCAAAAGUCCUUAACAAGACACUAGCAAAGUGAAUGUAGCAAAUAAUAAAGAAGAUUUUAAAACCUGACCAACUUGGAUUCAUCCCAGGAAGGCAGGGAUGUUUCAGUACAUGCGAAUCAACAAAUUUAAAUGUCAUAUCAACACAGGCAAAAACAAAAGUCACAUGGUGAUCAUCUCAAUAAAUGCACAAUAAGCUUUUGAUAAAGUCAAGCACUGAACUGUGAUAAAACCCUACAGUAAAUAACAACAGAUGACCUUUACCUCAAGCUGAUAAAAUAAAAUAAUGACGGGGCUGGGGAUUUAGCUCAGUGGCAUAAGCACCUGCCUUGCAAUUGUGUCGUCAUGAGUACAAUUACCAGUACCAAUAAAAAAGAAAAUGACAAAAAAUUCAGACAAUGACAAAGAAAACCCCGCAUCAUACUAAAUGGAGAAUAACUGAAAACUUUCAUUCUACAGUUAUAAAAGGACAUGGAAGACUACUAUGACCACUCCUAUUCAAUAUAGCUCUGGAAACACUAGACAAAACAAUUAGACAUAAGAGAGAAAUAAGAAUAAGUAUAUAAUAGAAAAUAGUUAAAUUAUCAUUAUUCAAAGAUGAUAUGAUAUUCUAAAUAGAAGAUGCUGAAAACUCCACCAAAACAGUCCUAGAAUUAAUAAGCAAAUUCAAAAAUGUAGCUGGAGACAAAGUUGACAAUCAAAAAUCAAUAGAUUCCUGUACACAAUCAACAAACUCACCAAGAGAGAAGUUACAGAAACCACACCAUUUAAAAUAUCCUCCAAGUAAAUGAAAUACUUGGAAAGAACCUAACAAAGAAAGUAAAGUACUUACAUAUUGAAAAUUAUAGUACUUUGGAAAUGAUAUUGAAGAUUAUCAGAAAAUAGAAAAAUAUCCCCUGCCCA